rnacentral:rRNA from 1 species
AAGCUUACCGACCCCAAUCAAACUCCGAAUACCGGUAUUAUAAUGCAUGGCAGUGAGCUCAUGGGGGAUAAGCUUCAUGAACAAAAGGGAAAGAACCCAGACCAUCAGCUAAGGUCCCUAAGAACGGACUAAGUGGGAAAGGAAGUAGGAUUGCCCAGACAGCCAGGAGGUUGGCUUAGAAGCAGCCAUCCUUUAAAGAAAGCGUAACAGCUCACUGGUUGAGUGGUGCUGCGCCGACAAUUUAGCGGGGCUAAAGCCUGUCACCGAAGCUAUGGCUUCCUGAUUUUUUUCAGGAGGGGUAGGGGAGCGUUCCCUUGACCAUGAAGUCACUACGUGAGUAGUGGUGGAGUGAAGGGAAGUGAGAAUGUCGGCAUGAGUAGCGUAAGGUGUGUGAGAAACACACCCACCGAAAACCUAAGGUUUCCUACGGAAGGUUAAUCCGCGUAGGGUUAGUCGGGCCUAAGCCGAGGCCGAGAGGCGUAGGCGAUGGACAACGGGUUAUUAUUCCCGUACCGCUGCUAUGGAGGUAAAGGGGGGACACGGAAGGGUAGGUUAAGUGUGCCUAUUGGACAUGGUGCGUCCCUCACUAUAGGUGAUGUCGGGGCAGGCAAAUCCACCCCGGAUAUUACAGCUGAAGGUGAGGGGAAGUUGAGAGGAGACUCAAGACGAUUUAACUGACCUCAUACCGUCAAGAAAAGCCUCGUUGCCGUUGAAGUAGUAGCGCCCGUACCGCAAACCGACACUGGUAGGUAGGGAUAAGAGUCCCAAGGUGAUCGAGACAACCUUCGUUAAGGAACUCGGCAAUCUAGCCCCGUAACUUCGGGAGAAGGGGUGCCCUCUUUGGAGGGUGACACUAAAUGGGUCCAAGUGACUGUUUAACACAAACAUAGGUCUCUGCUAAAGCGUAAGCUGAUGUAUAGGGGCUGACACCUGCCCAGUGCUGGAAGGUUAAGGGGAUGGGUUAGGAGCAAUCCAAAGCCCUGAACUGAAGCCCCAGUGAACGGCGGCCGUAACUAUAACGGUCCUAAGGUAGCGAAAUCCCUUGUCGGGUAAGUUCCGACCCGCACGAAUGGUGUAACGACUUGGACGCUGUCUCAACGAGGGACUCGGUGAAAUUGAAAUACCCGUGAAGAUGCGGGUUACCCGCGACAGGACAAAAAGACCCCGUGGAGCUUUACUAUAGCUUGGCACUGAGUCUGGGCUUUCCUUGUGUAGGAUAGGUGGGAGGCUUUGAAGCCCCGACGCUAGUCGGAGUGGAGCCAACGUUGAAAUACCACCCUUGGUAAGUUUAGCCUCUAACCCCAGAACAAGCUGGGGGACCGUGUCUGGUGGGUAGUUUGACUGGGGCGGUCGCCUCCUAAAGAGUAACGGAGGCGCACAAAGGUUCCCUCAGGCCGUUUGGAAAUCGGCCGCAGAGUGUAAAGGCACAAGGGAGCUUGACUGCGAGACCGACAGGUCGAGCAGGUGCGAAAGCAGGAGUUAGUGAUCCGGUGGUUCCGAGUGGAAGGGCCAUCGCUAAUCGGAUA